CAGUGUCUACAAAUCUUUGUACUUAACUGUACAAUUUGAAUAAGAGAAGUGAUAAAUGAUUUCCACAAUAAUACAGUAAGUUGCAGUGAAAAUCUCACUCUUUGCACUUGCAAGACCGAGCAACAUGGAGUGUUAAAGUGGAUAUUUCUUACAGUGGAGUCUUGGGUCUGUGGCUUGGCGUCUGCUCUCCGGAGCAGCCCUUGGUACCCACAGGGGUCAAAUCUCCCUCCUCUGUUUCUGGAAGAACAGAGGCUGUUAAGAGAGGCCUACACUCCAGUAUCUUUACAAAUCAAUGGAAGCACUUCCUCUCUCCUUGUCCUCCACAUGCACUGAGGACAUAUCGAUUACAGCAAUAUACGUAAUACAUUCCCGUGUUUCUUCACUGCUUGUAAAUAUACAGCCUGAUUCCUGGUCAUGUAAAGAGGAGAACUCUUGCCUGCGAGGGUUUGUUCCUCAUUUUAAGAGAGUUCAUUUUUCAUGCUUCACCAAAACCCCUGGUCAUGGCUGUGGAGCAGUCUUAGCUGUAUGGGGAUAAAUGCACAAGGGUUGCACAAGGGUUGCCCUUAAAGCCAUCACAGCCACAGCUGUGCAGAAUGAACACCCCAAAACGACACAUUUAUCUUGAGGUAUAAAAUUUUCUUUCAGCACCCCUGCUCUCCCACAGGUUUCGUCAUGAUCAUGUUACACAUCCUUGCCGUAAGAACGCGGGGAGGGGGGCAGCUUUUGCACGUCUUUAUCAUAAAAAUGUUUGUCCAUUGUACAGAUGCCCUGCAGUUGAACUCUUAGGGAGAGUAAACAGAGGGGGGAAUGGCUAUGCAGGCCUUUCCUUCUCUUUCAGCUGCACUAAUGAUGUUGUGCCGGACCACAGCUGUUUCUUCAUGGCAGGUGUGCAAGUGGGAGCCACAGCAGACUGCACUCGGCUCGGAUCGGAGGAAUGCCAAAAACAAGACGGAAGGAGAGGAGACGGGGCGCAUAGCGAGGCGGAGAAACGAAUAUCCACACAAGAUACAGCUCCCCGAGCUCCCAGAAAGCUGGAUACAAUAUUCAAUUGAGAAUUUCCCCUCAACACCUGGCCACCGGCAUGAGUAGGAUAUUGAUGUGGGUCCCGCGCCAGAGCCCCACAGCUUGACUCAUUUGAAAUCCUCUGGCGAUUUCAUGCAGUAUUUAGCCAAAAUGCUUGGACAAGAACUUGUCUGGAGUUCUUUCCUGAGACGGGGGACAUAGCCAGUAUGUCUUGAAUAUGCACUCUGCUUGGUCUGGGCCAUGAGGAUAGAAAUGGCCCAGAGAUCAUUUCCUGUUUGGAACUCUACCGGAUCAGGAGCAGAGAGAGGGGAAAAUAUGCAAAGAAUAUUUGCUGUGUGGAUUGGAGGAGAUCACAGAGUGGAUUACUACAAGAUUAUUGUAAGGCUGUAUGUACUGUACAAAGGAAGAGAAACCUGCUUUUUAAUAGUUUGAGGUGUAGAUUUGAUCUUUUCUUGAACUUCCUGAGGUUUUCUUUGAACUGCCAUGAAAAGCUCAGAUCUGAGCUAAAAUCUGAAAACGCUGACAUUAUGUCAUUGUAGAAAUUCACUUUGUUUGAGACUCCUUUAUUCUGCCUUUAUUGCAGAUCCUCUGAUUUGCCUCUCGUGAUGCAGUUUCAUACUUACAACAUUCAUAAUAAUCACUCUCAUCUACUUUUUCACUGUCAGAUUCAAGCUGAAAAACUAAAAUUAAAAAAACAUAGUAUCAUAAAUUAUUAUAAUACUAUUAAAACCAAACUUAUUGAAGCUUAACUGGUACAGAAACCUUUAUAUGUAUGAAGAAACACCACCCAAAUCCAAGAAUUUACCAGAAAAGAUGCAGGAGUAGGAGUCCCUGGUGAAUCUGUGGGCUGCAGCAUGUGCAAUAGGUUCAGUACUGGGGGUCUAAUUAAGACUCAUGACAUAUUUUUACUCCUCCCUCUUCCUUUUCCAAUUGAUAUUCUCCGUUCUAUCUUGUCUAAUAAAGCAGUAAAAGGCUUAAAAUAUAAAUCUUUGGAUAUUGCUUUUGAGUAGGAAGUGAGACCAGAGUGAGACCUCUGUUCUCCCUCGACUAGCACCUCUAGCUAAUAUUAAAGCCGAGGCCAUACGUGGUAAAUAUUAGCUUUUCUCUCCCGUGUUGACAGUGUGUGCUUUUCCACACACACACGGAACAAAGGUCUGCCAUAUUGCACACCCACCUGGGAACUUAGAUGGGACAGAGUGGAGGGUGAUCCAUUGCUGAAAAGAGCGCAGAACAGCUCCAUGGUAACUGAGGGAGCUGUUAGUGUAACUGAGGCCUCAGACAACUAAGGACCAGAUGAUGAAUGAAUAAUAUCAUGAGUCUUGGAAACAAAUUGAAGUAUUUUUGAGGGAUUGUUUUCCCUUUAUUAGAAGGAGGACAGUAGAGAGCAGACAGGAAAUGAGGGAAGAGAGAAGAGGGAUAACAUGCAACAAAGGUCCCUGGCCAGACUCAAACAGGGGACAUUGCAAUUACAUGGUCAGCAUGAUGCCGCCAGACUCUUGAAACUUGCUUGAGUUAUGUACCGUGCACAUAUCUGCUUUAUAGAGUACAGAGAGUUGCAUUAAUAUUUGUCAAUGGUGCAUUAUUGUUUUGAGGGAAUUAGAUGCAGACCUUUCAAGUCAAUCUGCACUUAAACUGCCUUACUACAUAACAUUAAGGUAAUAUUGACGUGUAUUAAUGCAGACCAUAUGAUGACGAAUGGAAACCAAUGAUUACAUCAAAGUCUUUAACAGUAUAGCCUGCAUUUAAAAACAA